UUAAAAUGUAUUUGUUUUUCACAAGUUGAACCUGACACAUCAACAGUUCGUUUCUGUUUUUCAGUCCCUUCCUCAGCAUAAACAUGUACUCUGCUUCAUGUAACUGGGAAGUAGUGUUUUUCUUUGCAUACAUAAUCAUUUCUAUAGAUACAGCAGGUUCUUUGGGGAGUUAACUAAUAACUUUUUGCCUUUGUCUGCUAUGUAAUCCACUUUAACAACUGUGAGAUGCACUUUACCAAAAUAUCACUGUGUUACUCUGUAAAUAUUUAAUAAUGUGACAGCUCCUCCGGUUUUGAUAAUCAGAGCACAUGACCCAAUCAGGUUGAAUGCAAUGAGACAGGGAACAGCGUGGGAUUGGGGAUUUAGCAACUGUAAUUAAUCAUUAAUUGACUUGUGUGUACUCGGGAUAGGUCACAGAAGAGAUGAUUAUUAACUUGGGGUACAAUUUAAAUGGCAUAGGGAUCUUUAAACACAUACCAGUGUCAGACCAAUGGAGUCUGGGGGGGGGGUGCCUGGGCACCUGUAUUUGAAAAAGUAUCCAAAGUGUUUCUGAUGCAAGUGAAGCUGAGAAUACUUGAGUUCAAAUCUCUCAGUAACAUCAAUGAAAGAAAAUGCUGCUUGGGGUCACUAUGACCAGUCUUACAGGAUGCCUGGGGCAGCUCUGCUUCAGGCUGUGGGGACCAGGAUGGUUUCCUUUCAUGUAUCUCUCAUCCUUCCUUGGGGACCACAGCACCACCUAAGGCUGUCUGCAACCUACCACCUCCAUUUCUGCAUGUUGCUGUAAGAAUGCCAUCUCCAGUCCUUUUACCCUGUACUUUUCCUUAUCUCAAUGGAAGCACUUUCCUGAUCAGGAAAGGCAACAGAAGAUUAUGGAGAAAGCUGUCUCUCAGAGAUCCUGGACUUUGAUAUAGGUGCAGGAAUUGGCUGGAAUUUUGUAGUCAUUUUCCUUGGGCAAAAUGUGAAGGCCUCUUUUGAAGCUGGUGGAAGUGAUGUGUGCAUUCAAGUUAUGCCCUUGAAAGAAAAGAAUUCACUCACUUCUGGUUUUUGUCUCCUUGUUGGCUAGAAUGUGGACACCAUGGUAGUGAAUCAUCUUAAGCCUUGUGGGAUUAUGUUAAUGAGGAAGACUCCUUGCUCUCUCCACUGGAACAGUAAAGACACCUUGCUGAGGCUGUGUGGGAAAUGGGGAAAUGCCUGGCACAAUGGAGUUCUUGGUUAAGAAGUUGGCAUUUGAGUGCUGAUCCUCUGUGUCAAAAGAUGAGGCUAAUGAGAUCCUGAGAUUUGGUUUACUACUACGAGGUAUUAUGGCUUAAAACAAAACAAUACAAAACAAAACAGAUAUCUUAGGCUCAGGUUUCGUGGCUUCAACACUUGAUUAGUUUGCCUGUGUAACAAAUUGCCAUAGCGUUAGUGGCAUAAAGCAAAGCGUAUUAUCUCAAAGUGUCUGUGGGGUAGAUGUUAAUGGCAUGGUUUAGCUGGAUCCUCUGCAAGGCUGCAGACAAGAUUUUGUCUAAGGCUGCAUUCAAGACACUGUCUAAGGCUGCAUUCUCAUCUGAAGGCUCAAGUGGACAAAGUUCUCAUCUGAAGGCUCGAGUGGCAAAAUUCAUUUUUUGAUGGCACUAAGAUUCAGGUCAGCUUGCUUCUUCAAAGGCAGAAAAAUACAGACACUCAAGCAAGUCAGGAUGCUGCAUUUUUAGGUAACCACAUACAUCCCAUCACCUUUCUCACAUUCCAUUGGUUAGAAUCAAGUCACAGUUUCUGCCCACACUCAGGGAGAAAGAUUACACAAAGGCAUGAGGAUCUGAGCAUGGGACCAUGGGAGCCACCAUACAAUCUUCCCACCACCAGUGCAAUACUGCCUCAGCUGUCAAAUUAUUAGUAGAUGAGGGUAUGAUAGUGGUUUAAAAUCUGUCUAGGGUUUAAAAAUAUUCUUUCCUUUAUCUCCACUCCCUUGAAUCUGGACUGGACUUAGGAAUUUCUUUCUAACAAUAUUAGAUGAUGGAUGUGAUGGUGUGUAACUUCUGAGACAAAGAACGUUGGAAUCUUUUUUCCCUUUGCUCUCUUUCUUGGAUGAUCACUCUGGGGGAAACCGGGUGCCAUGUCGUAAGGACAUUAAAUCAGGCCUGCCGAGUGGUCCAUGUGACAAGGAACUGGGAAAAACUUGUCAAAAGCAGAAAGGGUUUCUGCCAACAGCCAUGUAAGAGCUGGCCUUCUGCUGACAGCCGCAUAGGCAGCCAUUUCAGAAGAGGCUUCCUGAGCCCCGGUCAAGCUGUGAGAUUUCUACAGCCCCAGCCAAUAUGACCUCUGAAAAAGAGCAGAACCAGACCACUCAGCUAAGCCACUCCCAAAUUCCAGGCCCACCAAAACUAUACAGUCGGUAAAUUUUAUUACUUUCAGUUACUAAAUUCUGGAAUAAUUUGUUAUUCAGUAAUAGAGAAUUAAUAAACACACAAAGUGCUUUAUUUUUAGGUCUCAUUUCCAUCAAGGAACCUCCCCUACUGUAUAUUAUGGGAAAUUCUUACUGAUAGAUCUUUUUAUAUUUAUGAAAAUCCUCUAGAGAUCUUCUGUUUAUUUUCCUCUAUAAAGUGACAACAACCCAAGAUAGAAAUGUCCACUUUUGUUAGCGUUAAGAAUUCCUUGUAGAGGAGUUCCUGUUGUGGCUCAGUGAGUUAAGAUCCUGACUAGUG